GACGAACGCUGGCGGCGCGCCUAACACAUGCAAGUCGAACGAGCGAGAGAGAGCUUGCUUUCUCAAGCGAGUGGCGAACGGGUGAGUAACGCGUGAGGAACCUGCCUCAAAGAGGGGGACAACAGUUGGAAACGACUGCUAAUACCGCAUAAGCCCACGACCCGGCAUCGGGUAGAGGGAAAAGGAGCAAUCCGCUUUGAGAUGGCCUCGCUUCCGAUUAGCUAGUUGGUGAGGUAACGGCCCACCAAGGCGACGAUCGGUAGCCGGACUGAGAGGUUGAACGGCAACAUUGGGACUGAGACACGGCCCAGACUCCGACGGGAGGAAGCAGUGGGGAAUAUUGCAAAAUGGGGGAAACCCUGAUGCAGCGACGCCGGGUGGAGGAAGAAGGUCUUCGGAUUGUAAACUCCUGUUGUUGAGGAAGAUAAUGACGGUACUCAACAAGGAAGUGACGGCUAACUACGUG
rnacentral:rRNA from 1 species